AAGUCGUAACAAGGUUUCCGUAGGUGAACGGUUUGCCUCCUGGAAGCCCCUGCAGCGACUCGUAAAAGAAUUGCAUUAGUCGCCCUGAUGGGCAGGCAACGCCGUCAGUCUGCGCUGGGAGUCCCCCAUGGGGGUCAACCGGCAGCUCCAGAGCUCUGGAGUCCACAGAUCAAACGAUAGCGGCCACUUUGGUGGUUGAGAUAUGAUCGGCCUCGGCUUUUACCAGCCUAAGAUUUUGCGGAACCUGCGGAAGGAUCAUUACUGAGAGAGGGGCUUCGCGCUCCCGGGGGCUUCGGCCCCCAACUCUUCACCCAUUGUCUACCUACCUUUGUUGCUUUGGCGGGUCCUGGGGACCUCUCGCGCCGGCGCACCCGCCGGCGAGCGCCCGCCAGAGGCCUAUUAAAACCUAUUUUGUCAGUGAUGUCCGAGCGAAAAACAUAAUAAUCAAAACUUUCAACAACGGAUCUCUUGGUUCCAGCAUCGAUGAAGAACGCAGCGAAAUGCGAUAACUAAUGUGAAUUGCAGAAUUCAGUGAAUCAUCGAGUCUUUGAACGCACAUUGCGCCCCUCGGUAUUCCGGGGGGCAUGCCUGUUCGAGCGUCAUUAUACCCCUCAAGCGUAGCUUGGUAUUGGGCCUCGCCCCCGUGGCGUGCCCGAAAAGCAGUGGCGGUCCGGUGCGACUUUAAGCGUAGUAAAAUCAUCCCGCUUUGAAAGAUCGCCCCGUGGCCGGCCAGACAACCCCACAUAUUCCAAUUCAUUGACCUCGGAUC
rnacentral:rRNA from 1 species